GAUGAACGCUGACAGAAUGCUUAACACAUGCAAGUCAUUGGCGAAGCUGCGCUUGCGCAGUCUAGCCAAGGCGGACGGGUGAGUAACGCGUAAGGAACUUGCCCUGCAGACAGGGAUAACAGACGGAAACGACUGAUAACACCUGGUAUUGUCAGGCUGGCGCAUGCCGGCCUGAUGAAAGGAGACGCUGCAGGAGAGCCUUGCGUCCUAUUAGCUAGUUGGUGGGGUAACGGCCCACCAAGGCGAUGAUAGGUAGCCGGCCUGAGAGGGUGAACGGCCACAAGGGGACUGAGAUACGGCACUUACUCCUACGGGAGGCAGCAGUGGGGAAUAGUGGACAAUGGGGGCAACCCUGAUCCAGCAAUUCUGUGUGCACGAAGAAGGUUUUCGGAUUGUAAAGUGCUUUCAGCAGGGAAGAAGAAAGUGACGGUACCUGCAGAAGAAGCGACGGCUAAAUACGUG
rnacentral:rRNA from 1 species